rnacentral:rRNA from 1 species
GACGGAAGGUGCAAGCGUUGCUCGGAAUCACUGGGCGUAAAGGGUGCGUAGGCGGCGGGGAAAGUCUGAUGUGAAAUCCUGGGGCUCAACCCUGGAACUGCAUUGGAUACUUCCUUGCUAGAGUACUGGAGAGGAAACUGGAAUUUACGGUGUAGCAGUGAAAUGCGUAGAGAUCGUAAGGAAGACCAGUGGCGAAGGCGAGUUUCUGGACAGUUACUGACGCUGAGGCACGAAGGCCAGGGGAGCAAACGGG